rnacentral:rRNA from 1 species
CAGUAACGGCGAGUGAAGCGGCAACAGCUCAAAUUUGAAAUCUGGCUCCUUCGGAGUCCGAAUUGUAAUUUGUAGAGAGUGCUUCGGGCGAGACCUCGGUUUAAGUCCAUUGGAACAUGGUGUCAUAGAGGGUGAGAAUCCCGUAUGCGACCGUGGCUCGAGCCCAUGUGAAGCCUCUUCGACGAGUCGAGUUGUUUGGGAAUGCAGCUCAAAAUGGGUGGUAAAUUUCAUCUAAAGCUAAAUACUGGCUGGAGACCGAUAGCGCACAAGUAGAGUGAUCGAAAGAUGAAAAGCACUUUGGAAAGAGAGUCAAACAGUACGUGAAAUUGUUGAAAGGGAAGCGCUUGCAACCAGACCUGCCCGUAGGCGAUCAGCCGCUGUUCUCAGCGGUGUACUCGCUCUGCGAUCAGGCCAGCAUCGGUUUCGGCGGUCGGAUAAAGACCUUGGGAAUGUAGCUUCCCUUCGGGGAAGUCUUAUAGCCUUCGGUGUAAUGCGGCCAGCCGGGACCGAGGACCGCGCUUCGGCUAGGAUGCUGGCGUAAUGGUUGUAAGCGACCCGUCUUGAAACACGGACCAAGGAGUCUAACAUCUAUGCGAGUGUUUGGGUGUCAAACCCAUACGCGGAAUGAAAGUGAACGGAGGUGAGAACCCUUAAGGGCGCAUCAUCGACCGAUCCAGAUGUCUUCGGAUGGAUUUGAGUAUGAGCAUAGCUGUUGGGACCCGAAAGAUGGUGAACUAUGCCUGAAUAGGGUGAAGCCAGAGGAAACUCUGGUGGAGGCUCGCAGCGGUUCUGACGUGCAAAUCGAUCGUCAAAUUUGGGUAUAGGGGCGAAAGACUAAUC